rnacentral:rRNA from 1 species
GACGAACGCUGGCGGCGUGCUUAACACAUGCAAGUCGAACGCUGAAGACCUGGCUUUUGUUGGGUUGGAUGAGUGGCGAACGGGUGAGUAACACGUGAGUAACCUGCCCUCUUCUUUGGGAUAACGCCCGGAAACGGGUGCUAAUACUGGAUAUUCCCUGAUCUUCGCAUGGGGGUUGGUGGAAAGGUUUGUUCUGGUGGGGGAUGGGCUCGCGGCCUAUCAGCUUGUUGGUGGGGUGAUGGCCUACCAAGGCUUUGACGGGUAGCCGGCCUGGGAGGGUGACCGGUCACAUUGGGACUGGGAUACGGCCCAGAGUCCUACGGGAGGCAGCAGUGGGGAAUAUUGCACAAUGGGCGAAAGCCUGAUGCAGCGACGCCGCGUGAGGGAUGGAGGCCUUCGGGUUGUAAACCUCUUUCGCUCAUGGUCAAGCCGCAACUGUGGGUUGUGGUGAGGGUAGUGGGUAAAGAAGCGCCGGCUAACUACGUG